GGAAGGAUCACUAUCGAGUUCUGACCGAAAGGUCGCGACUCCCACCCUUUGCGUACUCUGACCUGUUGCUUCGGCGGGCCGAUCUUUAGCGACCAUCGGCUCUUAGCGGGUGUGUGCCCGCCGAAGGACCUUUUUAAAAAAACUCUGUUUUGAGGUUGUCUGAGACCAUAUGAAAAAGUAAAAACUUUCAACAACGGAUCUCUUGGUUCUGGCAUCGAUGAAGAACGCAGCGAAAUGCGAUAAGUAAUGUGAAUUGCAGAAUUUAGUGAAUCAUCGAAUCUUUGAACGCAUAUUGCACCUCUUGGCUAUUCCGGGAGGUAUACCUGUUCGAGCGCCGUUUAAAAUCUAAGGCAUUGCCUUGCGUUGAUGUAAUCCUAAGUAAGGGUUUCAUUGAAACACAUUGGCCGUCUCUCUAUGCCCUGACCGCAGUGAAAUGCGAUAAAGGAGGCCUAGGGAAAGCAGCCAAAGGCUCCGAAUACAUGGCCUCGGAUCAGGUAGGGAUACCCGCUGAACUUAAGCAUAUCAAUAAGCGGAGGAAAAGAAACCAACAGGGAUUGCCCUAGUAACGGCGAGUGAAGCGGCAAAAGCUCAAAUUUGAAAUCUGGCUUCGGCCCGAAUUGUAAUUUGUAGAGGAAUGUUCGAUAAUGCCGUCGGUCCAAGUCUCCUGGAAUGGUGCAUCUUGGAGGGUGAGAAUCCCGUAUCUGAUCGGCAGGCAGCGUCGUGUGAACAUCCUUCGAAGAGUCGAGUUGUUUGGGAAUGCAGCUCAAAGUGGGUGGUAAAUUCCAUCUAAAGCUAAAUAUUGGCCAGAGACCGAUAGCGCACAAGUAGAGUGAUCGAAAGAUGAAAAGCACUUUGGAAAGAGAGUGAAACAGUACGUGAAAUUGUUGAAAGGGAAGCGCUUGCAACCAGACUUGGUCGCAGAUGUUCCGCCCAUCAUUUGAUGGGUUCACUCAUCUGUGUUCAGGCCAAUAUCAGUUUGAGCGGUCGGAUAAAGGCUCCAGGAAUGUGACUCUCUUCGGGGAGUGUUAUAGCCUGUUGCACAAUACGAUCAGUUUGGACUGAGGAUAGCGUUCGCUUGGAUAUUGGCAUAAUGGUUGUCAGCGGCCCGUCUUGAAACACGGACCAAGGAGUGAAACAUUCACGCGAGUGUUUGGGUAUCAAACCCGCACGCGCAAUGAAAGUGAACGGAGGUGGGAGCUUCUGCGCACCAUCGACCGAUCCUGAAGUUUACUGAAGGAUUUGAGUAAGAGCGUGACUGUUUCGACCCGAAAGAUGGUGAACUAUGCGUGAAUAGGGUGAAGCCAGAGGAAACUCUGGUGGAGGCUCGCAGCGGUUCUGACGUGCAAAUCGAUCGUCAAAUUUGCGUAUAGGGGCGAAAGACUUAUCGAACCAUCUAGUAGCUGGUUCCUGC
rnacentral:misc_RNA from 1 species